GUUGAGCUGUAGAGAUCCUGAGGUUGUAUGUGACUCAUGUUGCUGUGUUCUUUGCUAGUUUUCAACCUCCGCCCAUUAUCCACUCUGAAAACGAGCUGAAGGAGAAGAUUACUCUGCUGAAGAUAAAAAUCUAACACACAUCACUCACACACACGUGAAAACACACACCACAUGUGCACACACAUAUUUAUACCUGUUUCCUCAUCUCCUACACCCCCCUCCCCCCAGUAUCAGUGUGAUAUACAGAUCGCAGUAAGGCUGGUCCAGUCCCCAUUCAGUAAUGAACAUCCUGUAGAUAAACACUACAGGGCUUUGAACUGUGUCCUCCAACCUCUCACUCACAAACACACGAGUACGAGGUACAGUAUACAAACACACACACACACACACUGAAAUGUUGCUGCACUUAAUACAAGGUGUCCCUGUUUGCCUGUGGUGUUUAUCCUCAGUGUCCCGCUGGUGUUUAAAUUGAGCUGUAAUGUUUCAGGUGAUUGUGGAAUAACUGCAGUCGACACACGCAGAUACUCAUAAAAAUUACACCAUCACUGUUGUAGACAUCUUCAGUGUAGAGCGAGCUGGGGAAAAGGAACAAUUCCUGUCUUCUCUGCACAACAGGAUGUUGCUGUGGCAUGGUUCUCGUUCAUCUAACUGGGUGGCGAUUCUCAGUCAGGGUUUCCAAGUCACUCCUGCCGAAGCUCCAGUCACUGGAAACAUGGUGAAAAACAUACCGAGUGUAUGAACAUCAGGGACGCCAUUCACCAGGGGCGACCCGAUAUAACAUCACCGCUCCCGUACCGAUCCAAUUCACAGUGCGAUUUUUUCGGUAAAGGGAUUUAUUUUUCUGACAUGUCUUCCAAGUGUGCAAACUACUGUCACCCCAGUUUGGAGAACACCGAGGGACUGCUGUUACUGAGCGAGGUGUGCGACUCCAAGUGAUGUCUCUGUGUGAGCAUAUCUUAGCAACACCUUCACCCAGGUCGCUCUCGGAGACUGUAAUGAGCUUGUAAACACUGAUGACAGUGCUGGUCUUCUGCUUCCCGGAAAAAUGAGCACCAAAGGCCUGUGCCUGACUUCCCCCGACCCCAACAACUCCAUCACACUAGACGGUGCAACGGUUCCGCUCGGUCCCGAAGUGAAAACCGACAGAGAACAGAGGAUAACACACUCCUAUAAUGAAUAUGUGAAAUACAAAAAACAACCAUCCGUUAAACUGAAUCUUGACGGUUUUAUUGCCCCUUAGGUUGACCCCUGGAUGACCCUUAGGAUUUGGUAGGGGGGGCGAGGGUAUG